UACGUAGGCAGCGAGCGUUGUUCGGAGUUACUGGGCGUAAAGGGUGUGUAGGCGGUUUUCUAAGUUUGGUGUGAAAUCUCCCGGCUCAACCGGGAGGGUGCGCCGAAAACUGGGAGACUAGAGUGCGGGAUGGGAGAGUAGAAUUCCUGGUGUAGCGGUGAAAUGCGUAGAUAUCAGGAGGAAUACCGGUGGUGUAGACGGCUCUCUGGACCGCAACUGACGCUGAGGAGCGAAAGCAUGGGUAGCAAACAGG
rnacentral:rRNA from 1 species